ACUUUUUAUUAAGCGCCAGAACUUGACUAGCGCGGGAUGUGUGAAGAUUAAACACAACGGCAGAUCAAGUUGACGAGGUGGAGGUGUUCGAAAUGUUCGGCGGGGGCCUCCCGGUGAUACACCAGAGCCGUGAAUCAAUAACGGAAAAUGAGUGGGCGACUGUUCAUACAAUGUUAUGAUGGGUGUAAU
rnacentral:ncRNA from 2 species